GAAUAAGAGCUGGGUAAGACCGGUGCCAGCCGCCGCGGUAACACCGGCAGCUCGAGUGGUGACCGCUUUUAUUGGGCNUAAAGCGUUCGUAGCCGGUUCAGUAAGUCUUUGGGCAAAUCUUCUCGCUUAACGAAAAGAAUUCCGAAGAUACUGCUGGACUUGGGGCCGAGAGAGGUUAGAGGUACUCCUGGGGUAGGGGUGAAAUCCUAUAAUCCUGGGGGGACCGCCAGUGGCGAAGGCGUCUAACCAGAGCGGACCCGACGGUGAGGGACGAAAGCCAGGGGCGCGAACGGGAUUAGAUACCCCGGUAGUCCUGGCUGUAAACGCUGCAUGCUAGGUGUUGCAUGCUCUACGGGGGCAUGCAGUGCCGAAGAGAAGUUGAUAAGCGUGCCGCCUGGGAAGUAUUAUCGCAAGGUAGAAACUUAAAGGAAUUGGCGGGGGAGCACCACAAGGGGUGGAGUCUGCGGUUCAAUUGGAUUCAACGCCGGAAAUCUCACCGGAGGCGACGGCAGGAUGAUGGCCAGGUUGAAGAUCUUGCUUGACAAGCCGAGAGGAGGUGCAUGGCCGUCGUCAGCUCGUACCGUGAGGCGUCCUGUUAAGUCAGGCAACGAGCGAGACCCGUGCCCUUAUUUGUCAGCAGAUGCCAUUGGCAUGCUGGACACAGUAAGGGGACCGCUACUGAUAAAGUAGAGGAAGGAGCGGGCGACGGUAGGUCAGUAUGCCCCGAAUCUUCCGGGCUACACGCGGACUACAAUGGCCAGUACAAAGGGCUUCGACUUCGAGAGGAGAAGGAAAUCCCCAAAACUGGCCCUAGUUCAGAUCGUGGGCUGCAACUUGCCCACGUGAAGCCGGAAUCCCUAGUAAUCGCGUGUCAUUAUCGCGCGGUGAAUAUGUCCCUGCUCCUUGCACACACCGCCCGUCAAACCACCCGAGUGAGGUCGAGGCGAGGCUAUGUCGUUUUGGGAU
rnacentral:rRNA from 1 species